AUUGAACGCUGGCGGCAUGCUUUACACAUGCAAGUCGAACGGCAGCACGGGCUUCGGCCUGGUGGCGAGUGGCGAACGGGUGAGUAAUGCAUCGGAACGUGCCCAUGUUGUGGGGGAUAACUACGCGAAAGCGUGGCUAAUACCGCAUACGCCCUGAGGGGGAAAGCGGGGGAUUCUUCGGAACCUCGCGCAAUUGGAGCGGCCGAUGUCAGAUUAGCUUGUUGGUGAGGUAAAGGCUCACCAAGGCGACGAUCUGUAGCGGGUCUGAGAGGAUGAUCCGCCACACUGGGACUGAGACACGGCCCCAGACUCCUACGGGAGGCAGCAGUGGGGAAUUUUGGACAAUGGGGCAACCCUGAUCCAGCCAUGCCGCGUGAGUGAAGAAGGCCUCGG
rnacentral:rRNA from 1 species